CGCACCUUAACUGCGCAGAUGUUUUAAAUACUUUGGCUCUGCUUUGGGUUGCUUCAGUUCAGCUCUGAAGUGUGGUGUCCUAUGAGCGGAUGUAGCUACUUCUACUCUUCAGCUGUUGAAGUUGGGAGAGGGGAGUCACUCAAAAAAGGCCUAUCACAUGACGAUUGGUUCGCGCCACUUUCAGUGCUUGGACCCGUCUACUCCACGGCAUAAGCGAUCUGGGAUGGUGCUGGAAAGGAAGCGGCUGUAUUUUCCCUUUUGCAUGCAGUGCUUUGGAGUCUGCUGUUCCCCAUCUCCCUUCUGUUCCCUGGAGUCUGGCUGUGCUUCGGUGUGCUCUUGCUGGGUCGGGCCUCGGGUGGGUGGGGGCUGCGCAGGGCAGGUGGAUUUGAGUAUUUGUCUCGCUGUUUUCGGGUGGAUGACUUUGCAAUUUUAGUGAUUUACAAGACUUCAAAAAAUUGCACGGUAUCCAUCUGUAAUCCGCCAGAUGUUCCAAGCUGCGUUUAAUUUUCUUCUCUGGCUUAUGCCUCUGUUAUGCUGCGUUAAGAUUUUUAAUUAAAUGUGUAUUUACUCCCUUUUCCAAAAUAAACAUUGAAAACCAUUCCCAUAACCUUGUUUCUCCUACAUUAAACAUUUUAGGUAAAAAGAGGGUGAAGGUAGGUCUUAUGCACAAUCAUAGGAGUAAUAAGUACACAUCCCUGAAAGUUAACCAUUAAUAAGGACAAAAAUGGCUGUGCACAACAGAAUAUGGGCCAAAUUAAUGCAUUAAAUGGAGUGGACCUGAAUCGAUCGUAUAACAUCGUAAGAACAUCUUUUCAUUUAUUUGCUUUCAAAAUCUAUCCAAAUCUGUUGUUUUAUGAUAAUGUGCAUAUGUGAAUUUAUAAAGGUGGUUUCUAAAGAUAGGCUUGCUUGUGUUAUCUGUGACAUCAGUCUUCCUUUUAAGGUGGCAGUUUUGCUGCUGAGAAUUUAAUUUUAUUGCACGGAAUUAGGGACCAAAUGUAGUUCACGGCGCAGUGUGGUUCUGCUUUGGUUGUAUUACUGCCAAAAAAUGUUUGCUUCAGUAAUAUUGCUUUCUACAGUUGAAUAGAUGUGGGUAGCAGUAAAUGAAAUGUAUUUGGUCAUAUAUACUAGCAAUAUUUAGCAGGGGUUAUAUCUUUUUAUCUAGCGAAUGCCCAUUAAAUGGCUUUUCCAGUUCAACACAACAUGAGGAACAAGAGCAGUUUCUUUUUGGAACUGAGCUGGAAGGCAUUAUUUCCACUACUGGAAAAGCAGGUUACUAGUGGGGUCUAGCAAAGGUUGAUGAAUUAAGUUUCCUCCAAUAACAGGCCCUCAACGUGGCAUUACGUCAUAUGCAAUUAUGUAUUGGCAUUGCGUAAUAGAAGCUCUAACGGUACUCUGUGAAAAAUUCUCUAGAAAACAGCGAAACAGUGGGAAGUUAAUCGUUCUUAAACCAAUGGAUGGGAAUGGCUUCCCACCCCAUACCCCCCCCCCCCUCGGUAAAAUAUCCGAGGAGUGAAAUUUUCAGAUAAAAUGUUUUGACCAUGAAAAUGUGGGAGUUGUGUAGAUUUCACUUGUAUAGCAGAUGCAAGGAAGAAAUUAGUGGGGGUGAGGGAUUGUAUAUUAAUAAAACUUUGUUUAUAUCAGUUUAUUAAAAUGUAUGGUAAAAUAAUUUUAAGUCUGCUUGAUGUAUUAAAAUACGCAGAAAUGGGCUGUGAUCUUUUUUUAAAAAGUUGAUAGUACCUGUAAAGUAAAUAAUGUUGAAAAGAGCACUUAACGACCAUGCAAGCUAAUGUUUAAUCUUUAUUUCAACUUUAUUUUCUCUGUAACCGUUUUUUGGCGUGAUCAGUACUUGAAAUAAAAUUUUGAUUAAAUUGUC